rnacentral:rRNA from 1 species
UACGUAGGCAGCAAGCGUUGUUCGGAAUUACUGGGCGUAAAGAGUGUGUAGGCGGUGCUCUAAGUCUGUUGUGAAAUCUCCCGGCUCAACUGGGAGGGUGCGCCGGAAACUGGAUGACUGGAGUGCCGGAGAGGUAAGCGGAAUUCCUGGUGUAGCGGUGAAAUGCGUAGAGAUCAGGAGGAACACCUGUGGUGUAGGCAGCUUACUGGACGGUGACUGACGCUGAGGCACGAAAGCGUGGGUAGCAAACAGG